rnacentral:rRNA from 1 species
AUUGAACGCUGACGGCAUGCCUUACACAUGCAAGUCGAACGGCAGCGCGGACUUCGGUCUGGCGGCGAAUGGCGAACGGGUGAGUAAUGUAUCGGAACGUGCCCAGUCGUGGGGGGUAACUGCUCGAAAGAGCAGCUAAUACCGCAUACGACCUGAGGGUGAAAGCGGGGGAUCGCAAGACCUCGCGCGAUUGGAGCGGCCGAUAUCAGAUUAGGUAGUUGGUGGGGUAAAGGCCUACCAAGCCUACGAUCUGUAGCUGGUCUGAGAGGACGACCAGCCACACUGGGACUGAGACACGGCCCAGACUCCUACGGGAGGCAGCAGUGGGGAAUUUUGGACAAUGGACGCAAGUCUGAUCCAGCCAUGCCGCGUGCGGGAAGAAGGCCUUCGGGUUGUAAACCGCUUUUGUCAGGGAAGAAAAGGUUCUGGUUAAUACCUGGGACUCAUGACGGUACCUGAAGAAUAAGCACCGGCUAACUACGUGCCAGCCGCCGCAGUAAGAC